GGCUGUGAGAUUCAGAAAUACUCAGUGUAAACAAAAGUUGACUGAGAGUGUUGCUGUUCCACCUAAUACUUGAUCAGAUAAUGUGUUUUACCUUGGACCAGGAGUCUUCUCUGCCAGCAUCGGUGAGAUCCACACAGCUUUCAUACCUAGGGAAAACAGUUUGUUUAAGGACAUAAAACUCAAUGGAUGAGAGGCAGUGCUGUAUAUGCAAACUUGUGGAUAAUGGUGGAGGUCAUGUUCACCUUUGGACAAGCUGAGAAACAGGUGUUUUUCUGUCCCAAAUCCACGAACUGUGACCCGCAGAGAGACUCUUGAGGGACUGACUUCUUCUCAAGGUGAAGCUCAUCUACAUAGAAAACACAUCGUAAUUUGACCAAAGUGAGCCAGGGCAGGCUUUCCAAACCUGCUAUUCUCAGCACUGAAAGCCAGCGCACACGUCAGGUGAAAGUCUAUAAUCAUUCACCACAUGAUCAAAUGUCCACCCUGGAUGCAUUGGAGGCUGCAGAGACUGAGACUGAAGACUGUGAGGGGUGUGUCAGGUGUGAAGUGUUUCUUUCAAUAUAAGGUGCAAAAACAGCGAAAAUGUGGCCAAGUUCUGAAGAUCCCUGUACUUUAUUGUGUCCUUUACCUGAAGGACUGUUUGUGUAUAAGUGAAAUCUAAUAUUGCACUAUAUGCAGAGUUGAUUUGUUGUUGUUUUUUUUUUUUUUUUGCAAUAUUACACCAAUUCUUAGUGUAUAGACAGGAUUUCACAUUGAUUUCUGAUUCUGAUAUAUACAUUCAAUUUUAAAUUGGAUUUGCUGUGUUUUGAGAAAAUAAGGAAUGGUAUAAAAAAGUAUCCAGCGUUUUGAAAAAGCAGAAUUUUAAUUUUAUCUAACAACUCUUUGGCUAAUUGUAUGAGGUGGAUGUGUUGCUGUGUUUAGAAGAGAGAUUCAUUUUCCUUCAGCUUAGUCUCUUUAUUAAUCAGGGAUCACCACAACAGAAGGAAGCACUAAUUUGUCCAGCAUAUGUUUUACACAGAGGAUGCCCUUCCAGCUGCAACCCACUACUAGGAAACAUUCAUUGUUACCACACAUACAGUACUGCCAAUUAAGUUUAUUCAAUGGGUUAUAUUCACAGCUAGUGUUUUUCAGUCAAUGUUGAACUUCCGCUGAAAGCUUUAUGUGACUAUUUUUAAUUUUAUAAGGUUCCUUUUACAGCAUCGAUGUAAUGUAAUUACAAUACAAUCAGUUAAAUAGACUUAAGCAUUCAUUUAGUUGUUCAAGCGUAAAAAAAUACAAAAGACUGUUUGAAUGCAGCUGUCAUUAGCAGCAAUUUAGCACAGAAAUUCCAUUGAAAAUACUGGGGUAAAAUUAAUUUCCAUAUUUUCAAGGCUUGGUGUGGUUUGAUACCCAUUUUAUAUCGUAUCUCAGACAGGCAGUGAAGAUCACUGUUUUUUAAAGAAACUUGGCGAUUUUGUGUGGUAUGACAAUUAACCGGAAGCCCUGGGGCUGGCUGACUGAAAUGAAAUGAAAUGAAAUGAAAAGUCUGUGUGCAUAUACCCCAUUCACCUAUACCGGAGCACCCAGAGGAAACACACCAAAAUGGAGAGAACAUGCAAACUCCACACAGAAAUACUAACUGACUCUUAGAAAAAGCACUUUAAACAUUAAAAAAAAACAGUAAAGGCUACUCAGACAAAAUAGAAAACUACAUAUUUUAAUAUUAUAUAAGUAUAUAUUCAUUAUAAAGUACAACUCAAUACUCAAAAAUUAAUUCUGCUGCUUGUUUUAACAGAAUUCUUGAG